rnacentral:lncRNA from 1 species
UAAAACUAUACUCAUCACGUGAAUUACUACUGAGGAUAAUUUAUUAUAAAUCAAUAUUAUAUAAUUACUUUGAACACCCAUAAAGCACACUUAUUAUUCCAUAUAUAAUUCUCAAAUGCCUUUUACCCUAAAACUUUUAUUUCUAAUAUCUUAAUCCAUGCUUAGAACUUAGAAGAACAAUGAGGAAAUCAAUAUUUUUGAAAAAAAAUUGACUACAAAGUAUUUGUAAUACUUUUUAUUUUUUUGAAAAAUAAAAUGAUACAAAAAUAUUGGAAAGAUUUUUUUUUCCUUUUGAGCCUUCUUCUUCUUCUUAUUUGUCUUUUCGUCGUCGUUGUCUUCUUCUCCUAGUUUUUUUUUUUAUUUGGACGUACUUACAGAUUUUUUUAUUAUGUUCUCAUUAAAAGUAGUUUUGGGUACAAAGUCUAAUAUUAAACAUAAAUAAACAGAAAAUUAAUGACUAAAAUUAUGUUAAAUAAUUUGUUUACCACUUGAUUUGAUUAUAUUAUUGUAAGUAUGAGUUAGAUCUCUUAAAACUGGUGCGAUCAAUAGUUUAUUUGUGUUUCAACUAAAUAAAGUGAAGUUUUUUUUUUUUUUUUUGGGGGAUAAACCCCUGUAAAGAGGCAAUUUAUUCUAAGUAAAAGAAACAUUUACAAUCAAUUAAUGGAGAACAUAGUGAACCUUACCCCUUAGAAUAAUUAUAAAACCGAAAUAGAUGAAAAUAAGCGAAAAGCCAUUAAGUAACAACAAAAUAGAACAAGCUUCUAGAAAAUCCAUAUCUUGGAAAACCAUUUACCUCUUUGGAAAGAACGCUUUGAACCUCGUAAGGUGCAGCAUGCCACCAAGAAAGGUCACUACAAUCAAGCCCAAGAUUAGCCAGACCAUUUGCAAUGCGAUUGCAUUCUCUAAAAGUAUGAGAAAAACGAAGCUAUAAAGUUAAGUAAUUAAUUUAAAAGUUAAGAAAAUUUUAAAAAUUUUAAGAGUGUAUAAAAGUAAAAUUAAUUUAUGAGUAUACACAGUCAUGUAGUGUAAUAAUUUAUUUUAUGAGUAUACACAGUCAUAUAGUAUAAUAAUUUAUUUUAUGUAUUCUUAAUUUAUUCAUUAGACUUCAAGUACAAAAUUACAAUCACACAUUAAUAAUUUCCAACGAAAAACUACAAUAAGAAAACUAGCUAAUCAGACCUAGAAAAAUCGUACGGAAAAAAUCUCCAAAGCCUCUUGUUUGAAUAUGGAAUCAUUUAGAAGUAAUCGUGAUUGUAUCCUCUCUUUAGCUUUGUAGAAUAAUCAUUUAGUAGAAGAAUGUCAAAUGAUCAUUCUGGCCAGUAAAAAUAGAAAUUCAAUAUCUUUAGCCCGAGCAAGUAUUUUGACUAGAAAAAUUGUAAUUGGUUGAAACCAUGAGUGCCCCCUCAAAUUUUUUGCUUUUUAUGUAAAUUCUCCAUUUUUCUAGAAUGCACAAUUUUUUUUUAACCUUUUCUGAACUUUAGAUUUUUUUUUUUUGAGAAUGUUUAAGUUAAAACAGUGGAAAAAUCUUUUUAAGUCUUGUAUGGCGCACAAAAUCUGACCCCACUAGCUUUGUCUUUUUUAAAGUGAGAAAUUAAAAAAAAUAAAUAAAUAAGUAAAAGAAGAAAGAAUCCCGUUAGUGCGCAAAAAAGUUGGAUUUGGAAAGAAAAGUAAGUCCUCGGUAACAGAUACUAGGUGCAUAAGUGAUUACUUUUAUUUGAUAAUCCAUGCAUUUGGAAAGAAAAGUAAGGCUACAGUAAAAAUUAGGGGUAAAAAUGAUUACUGAGCUGGACCCUCUUUCAUUUGAAAAAUUGUAGGAAAAAAAGAGAGUAGAAAAUGAUGAUGAAUUAUUGAAUUGGGACCCCAAUCGUACGAGUCCAAGAAAACGUAAUGAUUUACAAAUUCUCAAAGAAUUAAGUUCUUCUUUGGGCUCUUGCCACUUUUUUUUUGGGACCGAUACGACUUUAUAUGAGCGAAAAAUCUGGGGAGAAAUUGACUUUCAACUUUAUACAGUAGGGUGCUUCUUAGAAUUUUAUUAGUAUUCUAAAAUAUUAAUCUUCCACAUUAAGAGAUAAGUAAGAGUAAUUUUUUUUUGUGUUUGACUAGAGAUUACUCAUGUGCUUGAUUUAAUUGUAAAUUAGAGUUGAAUAACUCAAAUUUACAUGUGAUUUGAAUCAUUCAAGUUGGAUUAAAUUAUGAGACACAUGGAUAAUUAAUUUAAAUUAAAUAAGAAAAAUGAAUGAUUAAUUUAAAUUAAAUUAGGAAAAGAACUAAAGAGAGUUUGUCAUAAGGGAGACAAACAAAGCCUUCCACGAUGAUUGUUGAGAAGAGAAUAGUUCUAUUAUUCUUUUUAAUGCAUUUUACUUUUGUCUCAUAUUUUUUCAUCAAAUUUAUUUUGUUGUUAUAAACUGUUGUGUUUAAAGCGUAACUUCACAACAAUAUCAUUGUAUCUUAGAGAUUAAACUGUCUUAUUUGUCUUUCUUACGCCGAGAAAUCUUCAUUUGAGGGGUGGAAUUUAGUCUUAAGGACAAUGCUUCAUGCACACCUUGACAAAUUUAUGUUUGCCAAUCGGGUAACAACUUGAGCAUUUCAGGAUGCAACUUUUAGGUUUACUAUUGCAAGUUCCGACAUUUACCGGGUGCAAUUCCAAGGUCGAAUAACUAUGUUGCUAUGCUCAAGCCAUUGUUCAUCGUCAGUGUGUUUGCUGAUUGAAGUUCUGCUCAGGAUGAUUUUGGAUUCUUACAAACAAUAUUGACUCAUAUUUCCAAUAAUCUUAAGACCAAUUUAUGAGGUUUGAUUAUUUCUUCAAAUAAGGUAUACAAACCUACUAUCUACGAUUUUUAUUAGCUAUAAAAAUGCAUCUACAAUUAGGGAUUUAUUAAAAUAUACAUGGUAGUAGAUCCCAAAUCUUAGUAAGUUUUAUUAGUGACUUCUUUAAUUUUAGGCAUGCUUUGGUAAGAAAUAUUUGACUACCUAAGAUUACAACAAAGAUUUAAGCUAAUAGUUGGUUAUUAUAAAAUUCGCCACAAUUAAUUUAAAUUGAUUUUCAAUCUAAAAUUUUUAUAUGUUAUACUGGACAUCCAAAGAAAUUUUUGAAACUUGUUACACUAGAAAUUUUUUGUUCUAGUAAAAUAUAUGAAUUAUGAAACUAUUUUACCAUAUCCAUACUUCUUAAAAAAUUUUGAAAUUUGAAACAUUGUUUCCUAUAUAUGUCUUCAAAAACUAUGAAAUUCGGAAAAUUGUUUCCUAUAUUCAGUAAAAUACAUGAAUUAUGAAAAUUUCAUGAUUUUUCAUACUAGAAUAAAUUAUUUUGAAUUUUUUAACUUAGUAAGCUCAAAGCAGAAAAAUAUUUGACAAGAUUUAUGAGGUCAAAAAUGAAAAUUAUUUUCAAUAGUUUUAGAUGGAAUUGAGCUACGGUAAUUUUAUUAUUAAAACUCUAUAUGUCAGCAUACGCUCUGUAAAAUUAUAUUGUUUUGAUGAUGAAAUAAUUUAUUAAAAAUCAAAGACUAAAGAAUGCUCUAUUGUGGAACUAAUGUUGUUUAUUAUUUGAGUCUUGAAGAUACAAUUGUGAUUAUUAGAAUUAAAGAGAAAAAUAUCAAUAAUGAGAAUAGAAUGGUCAAGGAAUUAAAUUCCGAAACAAAUUUACUUGAGAAUUAUUGUCCUUACAACAAGAAGCAGAAGAAAAGUCCCAAUAAUUAUUUCAAUCUCAUUAUUAAAGUUAAGAAAAUUGUAUUGCCAAGUAAAUUCUACCUCUAGCCUGGUGUAGCCCUCUUAAAUAUUUUAUUUAGUUAUAUAAUUGCCCUUAUUGAAAUUUAUAUAAAUAUUUUUUUUUAAAAGUUAUGCCGCCUUUUCAACCAUCCUCAAAUUCUUGUCAGAAUUCAUCCGAACUACAAUUUGAAACUCUCAUCUUUUCAUGAUUCAUUGUCAAAGUAUAAGCUUUUAAGUUAAAUGUAAAGAGCAAUUAUAAAUUUCAAAGAAAAAUAGGUAAUUUUAUAAUUUAAAUAUUGUUUUUUAUUAUGCUGCACUUUAUUAUUUUAUUUUUUAUUACAUUAUACUUUUAUUUUUUAUUAGGAAUUAUAUUUCAAUAAUUUCAUCUGUACAUAACUAAUAUUUUGAAAAGUAAGGCUCAUUAUGUCCCCUUAUUAAGUGUAUCUUUAUUUAAUAAAGUUCUCUCAUCCAAUAGAAAAGUAUUGAGGGCCAUUUUAUGAUGCCAUGAUUAAAGUUACGGUAUCAAUACCGUAAUUAAACAUAAAUUAUGUUAACAUGAAUAUGUUAAUAAUAUUGAUUUUGAUAAUAACAAACAUUAAAUGGUUUUUUUAUAAAAUGUUGGAGCUAUUUCUUAAAUAAACGAAAGCCUUAUAAACAUUCCAAUUAUAUUCAUAAAAGAUGGACUUUCAAAUUAGAAAAUGAUUCUCAGAAAAAAAAUCUGGUUUAAAAUGUGAUUACGGAAAUAAACAGUGAACUGUUUUCUUUUGAACAGUUAACCGAUUAAAACCAGAGAGCAACAUAUUGCCUAAACUGUAACCGAUUAAGAAAAACGAAAAACACAAAAAACUGGGAAGGCUACUGUAAUUUAACGGUGAACCAUUUAUUUAAAUGGUUAACCGAUAAAAUCCAGAAUUGAAGAUUGUACUCAUCUGGCACCAUUUAACAAAACCGGAUAAGGCUAAUUUGUUUUGCAGGUUAUUGGAAAUAAACGGCGAACCGUUGAUUACAAACGGUUAACCGAUAAUUUCCAGAGAGGUCAUUUCAUGCAAAUCCUUAACCGUUUAAUGUAAACGGAUAACUGAUGGUCAUCUUGUAGGUCACUGGAAUUUAACGGCGAAAGGUUGACCCUAAACGGCAAACCGUUUAUUUGAAAAUUAGCCCAACGGUAAUAUUGACAAGACAAAACGGUUAACCGUUAAUGUCUAACGGCGAACUAUUUUCUAGCAGACAGUGUAUAACGGCUAGUUUUUUAGCUACAGUUAUAAAUAAGCUCAUUCAAAAUCAAAUAAGAUUUAUCACAACACGAACAUUGAGCUUAUAUUCGAGAAUACAAUUUUCAUAGAGCUUUAAAACACAUUCUUACUUCAUCUAUUCACACAUUGGGCAUUGAUUUGUAAUCUUAAAUAUUGUGUGAGAGAAAAAUAAUUUUUAAUCUUUUACUUUGAGUGAUUGUAAGUGUUGGGAUACACUUGGGUUAAGAGAUUGGGAAUAAUCUCUUGUUGUAAAGGUUCAUUGACACCUUGGAAGUCAAGUGUAAGCAUUUGAAGCCUUGGAGGCUUGCUUAGUAAAAUCCUCAAGCCCGGAAAGUUUGGAGGCGUGGACGUAGGCGAGGUUGGCCGAACCACGUAAAAAUCUCCGUAUUUGAAUCUCUCUUCUCUUAUCUUUUUAUAUUGUAAUUGAUUUAAUUGUUAUUCCAUUAAAUUCAUUUUAGAUUUGCUUGAUAAUUUGUUUUAGAAUCCAAUAAUUUUUGGAAUCCCAAUUCACCCCCUCUUGGGUUGCACACUUGUAUUUCAAAUUAUGUAAAUGAAUAAUAAAACUUGUAAAUCAACAUUAACUGUAAAAUAAAAUAUA